rnacentral:lncRNA from 1 species
ACAUGUAUAAGAAAAACUCAACACGCCGUCCCCUUUGGACUGUCAUAGUUCUUCCAGAAAACCAAGAACACCAGUGAUCCGCCAACCAGGGUCGCGGAUUCGCCAACCAGGGUCGCGGUUAGCCGUCUGAUUGACAGUAGCGGCCGUACGCACGGUAGGCAUAAAGGAGACAAGAUGAAGAACAGGUCUUUCAAGGGUAGUAGAGCGCACAAGAAGACGCGACAGUGCACAGGAGCCCUGGGCGCGCAGCGUACGUACAUGAUUCAUGGGAGAAUUAGCUAAGGUGAUUUAUGAAGGCGCUUCAAUCGGGAGUUAAUAGUAGUGGUAUUGCUUCUAGUAGUGGCCGUUGGCGGCGCCUGAGUUGGUGGCGCUGCCGCUCUUGCCGUCGACGACGACCUCGGUCAUGGGCACCUGGUCGGCCUUGCGCUUACGGGCCUCCAGGAUCUGCUGC